CUCGGGGUGGCCGAGCGGUUGACGGCGCCAGACUCAUGUUCUGGUCCACGAUGUGGGUGUAAGUUCGUGUCCCCCCUCCGACA
rnacentral:tRNA from 1 species